rnacentral:pre_miRNA from 1 species
AGACACCCUUCUGUGGCAAGACUUGCUUCAGUAGGGCUUUGGUGCUCACUGAGUCUGCCCCCUGAGUGUGUCCCU